rnacentral:rRNA from 1 species
AGCGAACGCUGGCGGCAGGCCUAACACAUGCAAGUCGAACGGAAGCACCGUAAGUGCUUGCGGUUACGGGAGGAGAAUGGCGGAAGGGUGAGGUAUGUACCGGAAUCUUCAUUUUCGUGGGGGAUAAUGUAGGGAGAGCUACGCUAAUAAAGCAUAUGACGCACGGGUGAAAGCAGGGGGCCUUUGGACCUUGUGGGGUUGUAUGAGCUGAUGAAGGGUUAGCUAGUUGGCGGGGUAAAGGCCCAGCACGGCGACGAUCCGUAGCGGGUCUGAGAGGAUGAUCAGCCACACGGGAUGGGAGACAGGCUCCAGACUCCUGCGGGAGGCAACAGCCGGGAAUCCUGGGCAAGGGGGGAGAGCCUGACCCAGCGAUACCGCGUGGGGGAAGAAGGCGCUCGGGUUGGAAAGCCCUGUUGUUGGGAGAAAAAAGCAGUAGUUUAACACCCCGCGGUACUGACGGUACCCGAAGAAGAAGCACCGGCUAACUUCGUG